GAUGAACGCUAGCGGCAGGCCUAACACAUGCAAGUCGAGGGGUAGAACACUUAGGUGUUUGAGACCGGCGCACGGGUGCGUAACGCGUAUGCAAUCUACCUUAUACAGGGGAAUAGCCCAGAGAAAUUUGGAUUAAUGCACCAUAGUAUUAUUGAAUGGCAUCAUUUAAUAAUUAAAGUUCAAACGGUAUAAGAUGAGCAUGCGUCCCAUUAGUUAGUUGGUAAGGUAACGGCUUACCAAGACGAUGAUGGGUAGGGGUGCUGAGAGGGAGAUCCCCCACACUGGUGCUGAGACACGGACCAGACUCCUACGGGAGGCAGCAGUGAGGAAUAUUUGUCAAUGGUCGCAAGACUGAACCAGCCAUGCCGCGUGCAGGAAGACGGUCCUAUGGAUUGUAAACUGCUUUUAUACAGGAAGAAACCCUCCCACGUGUGGGAGCUUGACGGUACUGUAGGAAUAAGGAUCGGCUAACUCCGUGCCAGCCGCCGCGGUAACAC
rnacentral:rRNA from 1 species